rnacentral:lncRNA from 10 species
UUUAGAGUGUAACUACCAUGAAUAAUGAGAAUCAACCAUCAUCUCCACUUCGUAGAUGAGGAAGCUGAGACCUGGGUCACAUGCCUGAAGGCUUUCUGAAUCUAAGUGGACCCCAUUUCAGCUCAACUUAAGGACCUCAAUCCUCUGCUGCUUACAAUUGUCCCUUUGCUCCUUGCCGUGCUCUCCUGUUGUUGAUAUUUUCAUUUCAGCCAUUCAAAUUGAAUAUUUAGAAGAAGGAGCACAAGAAAGAGGACACCCUUAACAGAAAAGUUAUUCAUUUCCAAUUUAAGACUCAUCAAGGGAUAAAAUCUGAAAACUUAUAAAGGAUACUUAUUACAGAAAAAAUUUAAGGGGAAACUGGUGCUGUGGAGAGACCCAUGUGGAAAGGAACUGAGGACUCCCGGCAAAAGUCACCAAGGACCGAGGUUGCUGACAGCUGCAUGUGAACUCGGAAGCAGAUCAAUCCUUGCCCAAGCCCACACUUUGUCUACAGCCUUGGUGAGAGACCCUGAGCCAGGGAUGCACAUCCAAGCUGCACCCAAACUCUUGACCCACAGAAACUGUGAGAUGAUGAAUGUGUUUAAGCCCCCAUAUUGUGGAGUCAUUUAUUACACAGCAAUAGAUGGCUAAGAUGAGCACUAUUUUUAUCCCCUUGUGAGUUCAUGGCUUGGUCUCCCUACCUCCCACUGACUAAAUGUGGCUAAAGCAAAAUCCAAUAACCAGCUGUCUCUGAACAAUAUUAACUGAAUGCCUACUGUUUACUAGCAUGACAGGAAUUCAAAAGAGUUUAUGAGGGAAAUGGCCACAGUGAGGCAGAGGAUUUACAUGCUGGGAAGGCUUCAUCCUGGCAAAUUACCCAGGGCAGACCUUCCCUCCUUCACUGUCUAAAAUAUCCAACUCUUAUAGUUUCAAAUCCCCAUCUCUUAUUGUCUGUCUUAUAGAAACCACCCUGACUCCUCAAAUACAGUCACUCCAUUCCCUAUGAAGCUGCUUUUUUUUUUUUUUUUUUGAGAGGGAGUAUCGCACUGUCACCCUGGCUGGUAUGCAGUGGCGUGAUCUCCGCUCGCUGCAACCUCUGCCUCCCAGGUUCAAGCGAUUCUCCUGCCUCAGCCUCCUGAGUAGCUAGGAUUACAGGCGCCUGCUACCACGCUUGGCUAAUUUUUUUAUUUUUUGUAGAGACAGGGUUUCACUAUGUUGGCCAGGCUGUUCUCAAACUCCUGACCUCAUGGUCCGCCUGCCUCAGCCUCCCAAAGUGCUGGGAUUACAGGCAUGAGCCACUGUGCCUGGUGGAAGCUGCUCAGAGAUGGGGCGCUUCCUCUAGUUUUCCACUUGACUCUGGUCUUCCUCCUAGUUCCCUUCCUUCCAGGCAGAGGCUGAGGCCAGGCACAUGGUACCUUUGCUCUUACUUUGUUUGCAAAAACAAUGGCUGCAUUUUCCCGCAGCUGACUAGUAAAACUCUUGGCUGACUCAUUAAAUAUUUCACCUUUGUUGGUUUCAAAGCACAGCUUACAUAUUAAUGAGAUCCACUGUUUCUCUUUUUGAUAAGGACUUUUUUCCAGUUUCAUGACAUAGUUCACUCUUGAGAAACAACAAAACAUGGUGGUUAAGAGCUUGGCUCUGAAUCCCAACUUCCCAGUUUCAGGUUCUGGCUCUCAAAUUUACCAGCUGUGUGAUCUCGGGCAAUUUGCUUCACUUCUCUGUGCCUCCAUUUACACAUAAAAAAUUGGAUAAUAAUGACUGUAAUUGUGAACCAAAGAACAUGUGUCCCUAUUUGGAAUUACUAGAAAUGGUUAGCUGUUUUAGAAUGCCAAACAAUUGGGAAUACAUGGCCAACAGUCCUGACGAUGCUUGGGCACAAGGAAGUUAAUAUGUGCAAAGUG